rnacentral:rRNA from 1 species
CCUACGGGCGGCUGCAGUGGGGAAUAUUGGACAAUGGGCGAAAGCCUGAUCCAGCCAUGCCGCGUGUGUGAAGAAGGCCUUCGGGUUGUAAAGCACUUUCAGUGGGGAAGAAAGCCUUGGGGCUAAUACCCUCGAGGAAGGACAUCACCCACAGAAGAAGCACCGGCUAACUCCGUGCCAGCAGCCGCGGUAAUACGGAGGGUGCGAGCGUUAAUCGGAAUUACUGGGCGUAAAGCGCGCGUAGGCGGUCUGAUAAGCCGGUUGUGAAAGCCCCGGGCUCAACCUGGGAACGGCAUCCGGAACUGUCAGGCUAGAGUGCAGGAGAGGAAGGUAGAAUUCCCGGUGUAGCGGUGAAAUGCGUAGAGAGCGGGAGGAAUACCAGUGGCGAAGGCGGCCUUCUGGACUGACACUGACGCUGAGGUGCGAAAGCGUGGGUAGCAAACAGGAUUAGAUACCCGAGUAGUC